GAGUUUGAUCGUGGCUCAGGAUGAACGCUGGCGGCGUGCCUAAUACAUGCAAGUCGAGCGAACAGACGAGGAGCUUGCUCCUCUGACGUUAGCGGCGGACGGGUGAGUAACACGUGGAUAACCUACCUAUAAGACUGGGAUAACUUCGGGAAACCGGAGCUAAUACCGGAUAAUAUAUUGAACCGCAUGGUUCAAUAGUGAAGGACGGUUUUGCUGUCACUUAUAGAUGGAUCCGCGCCGCAUUAGCUAGUUGGUAAAGUAACGGCUUACCAAGGCAACGAUGCGUAGCCGACCUGAGAGGGUGAUCGGCCACACUGGAACUGAGACACGGCCCAGACUCCUACGGGAGGCAGCAGUAGGGAAUCUUCCGCAAUGGGCGAAAGCCUGACGGAGCAACGCCGCGUGAGUGAUGAAGGUCUUCGGAUCGUAAAACUCUGUUAUUAGGGAAGAACAAAUGUGUAAGUAACUAUGCACGUCUUGACGGUACCUAAUCAGAAAGCCACGGCUAACUACGUGCCAG
rnacentral:rRNA from 1 species